CGCUGGGUUGCUGGAUAGGAGCCUUUGCGUUCUCAGCGAACACAAUGACGCGUAUUUGAGAUGUUAGAAAUUACUUCAUUCCAUAGAUGGGGAAGAUUAAUGAAGAUAGAGAGAACUGAAUAGACUUAUUUUAAGCCUACGUUUUUGUUUUUAAUAUAUAGCUUUAUAUUCCUUCAGUUGGCUACGUGGGAAUUGUAAAGGGACGCGAUAACAAAAACAUUUCGCAAUCCAUUUUACAUGCAGUUGAGCGCGCGGAAUAGACAGGGACAAUUUCCGAAUGAUUCUCACUUUAUUAUAGGCCUACUCUUACGUCCUGCUGAAGAAGAGUAUUGGUCUGAUUGUCCGGUUGACAUUUCAAUGGUGAUAAGUGGGAAAGGCAUUUCUUUACAAUAUUUUGCUACCACUUCUCAGUGCAAGAUGUUUUGAUUGCCGAGGGCUAAAAGAGCAAAACGGCUGGUGUCGUGUGGAAUUGUACUGUCUGCUCAGACAGCUGCAACGUCUGCAAUAGAAUUUGCGAGAAAAACCAACAGGGAAGAAUCUUCAAUUACGGAAUACAAUGACUAUGUCCGUCCCGGAGAGGAAUUCGGGGUCGGAGGGAAAGGAGGAGGAGAGCGAGGAUGAGAGCGAGAUCCUGGAGGAAAGCCCAUGCGGACGCUGGCAAAAACGGAAAGAGCAGCUGCCUGGACUCUGGCUGUGCCCUGUACAGCAGAUGUACUAUGGUUGUAAUCAGGGGUAAUGUCCCAGGUGUGGAGAGCG